rnacentral:lncRNA from 1 species
ACUCCAGGGGCAACACUAAACUUCUCUAGUACUAGCACUUCUCUGCCACCAUGGCUCUGUCCAUCUUGUGACAAUAACUUUGGGCUUCCACAAUGAAAAGCUGGCAGCACUGGCUGGGCAGGAGUUGGUCCUUUCGUUGAAGUUUCCUGUCUGGCUGAAUUGUUGCCUAAUAUCUGCAACUAAGGGCCAAUGAAGCUAAUUUCUAGGGCCACCUGUCCUGGUUCCUGAGGAUGCUGAGGCUUCAAAGUGCAGUAGAAGACCACGACCUGAAGUUUUCAGCAGUUCAUGGCUGAAUAGAACACGGUUUAGCAUAGACCCAGCAUGGAUUUCUGAAACAUCACUCUGCUUGGUGUUAUCCCUGACAUCUUCAUCUCCCACUUGCAAAAUUGCAAGAGACAAUCUAGCAAGGUGGUUUCAAGCCAGGUCAUUGGAAGUAGACCUCCUGAGUCUGAAUCUUAACUGUGCCACUUAUGACUUUGGACAAGUUAUUUGAUUUCUUUGAACCACUGUUUUAUUACCUGUAAUAUUAUUUAUAAUUAUAUAUAGAUAGAUAUUAUAUAUUUAAUUUUGUAGUGUGUUAUUGUGAGAAUUAAAUAACUUUGACAU